UACAGAGGGUGCAAGCGUUAAUCGGAAUUACUGGGCGUAAAGCGCACGUAGGCGGCUUCGUAAGUCGGGUGUGAAAUCCCCGGGCUCAACCUGGGAACUGCAUUCGAGACUGCGGAGCUGGAGUAUGGAAGAGGAAGGCGGAAUUCCAGGUGUAGCGGUGAAAUGCGUAGAUAUCUGGAGGAACAUCAGUGGCGAAGGCGGCCUUCUGGUCCAAUACUGACGCUCAGGUGCGAAAGCGUGGGGAGCAAACAGG
rnacentral:rRNA from 1 species